rnacentral:rRNA from 1 species
AAAGAAAGCGUAAUAGCUCACUGGUCGAGUCGGCCUGCGCGGAAGAUGUAACGGGGCUAAACCAUGCACCGAAGCUGCGGCAGCGACGCUUAUGCGUUGUUGGGUAGGGGAGCGUUCUGUAAGCCUGUGAAGGUGUACUGUGAGGUAUGCUGGAGGUAUCAGAAGUGCGAAUGCUGACAUAAGUAACGAUAAAGCGGGUGAAAAGCCCGCUCGCCGGAAGACCAAGGGUUCCUGUCCAACGUUAAUCGGGGCAGGGUGAGUCGA